CCUACGGGAGGCAGCAGUGAGGAAUAUUGGUCAAUGGACGGAAGUCUGAACCAGCCAUGCCGCGUGCAGGAUGACGGCUCUAUGAGUUGUAAACUGCGUUUGUACGAGAAUAAGAGUUCUUACGUGUAGGGAUUUGAAUGUAUCGUACGAAUAAGGAUCGGCUAACUCCGUGCCAGCAGCCGCGGUAAGACGGAGGAUUCGAGCGUUAUCCGGAUUGAUUGGGUUUAAAGGGUGCGUAGGCUGGCGGAUAAGUUAGAGGUCAAAUGUCGGGGCUGAACCCCGUGCCUGCCUCUGAUACUGUUCGACUAGCGUGCGUCUGCAGCAGGCGGAAUG
rnacentral:rRNA from 1 species